rnacentral:rRNA from 1 species
UACGUAGGGGGCUAGCGUUGUCCGGAUUUACUGGGCGUAAAGCGCGCGCAGGCGGCUGGCCAAGUCUGAUGUGAAAUCUUCCGGCUCAACUGGAAAAUGGCAUUAGAAACUGGCCGGCUGGAAGGUGGGAGAGGGCAGCGGAAUUCCCGGUGUAGUGGUGGAAUGCGUAGAUAUCGGGAGGAACACCAGUGGCGAAAGCGGCUGCCUGGCCCACUCUUGACGCUGAGGCGCGAAAGCUAGGGGAGCAAACGGG